GUGCUCGCUUCGGCAGCACAUAUACUAAUUGUUGAAACAAU
rnacentral:snRNA from 1 species